GAGCUCAGAAGCCACCUAGCAGCUUGCUGGAAGAGAGGACGUGUUCCCAAAAAGUCGUUCCAGAAAGCGAAAUGGAAUGUUUUGUAGCAGCAACUGGAAGAAUGGAGAUCAAAGACUGUUUUAAGAGGAAAAGAUGGUUCAUCCUGCACAGCCUCUUCUCGCUGCCCUACGGACAUCAGCCAAGAAUAGCUGCUCCUUCCACAAAGCCAUGGAUAAAGCCAAAAAAAAAAAGCCUAGCUCAAAUCUACGUUGAUGGGAACGAGCAAUCAGUGAGGUUGACACAAGGACGACGACAAUCGUAAACGUACUAGGACACUUCCAAAACCCUGUUAAAGACUUUGUAACGAAUAAUAAAGAUUAUAUUUCUAUUUACAGUGUCUGAAAGGUGCGUUUGUUAACUUCGUUGCCUGCUGCGAGGGGGGGAGGAAUAUUUAAGUGGCUUUCUAAAGUUUUUUAGACUUUCUAAUGUUAGAAGGGAAAGAGGAAGAGUUGUCCAAAGGAUGGUUUGAAUGCCGUGGUCUUUUUGGAAGCCAUCAACUGUGACUGCUUUCCAGCUCCUCAGCUCUGUGUUGAGGCAAGGAGAAGGGACGUCGGGGACAAGAGCCUCGCUCAAGACUUUUCUUUCCUCUUCCAGCUGCAAGCGGCGAACGCGGUCGUGCGACGAGGACGUGGCCCAGAUCGGCCCCAAGAGGAUCAGGAAGGCAGCGAAACGCGAAAUCCUCCUGUGCGACUUCGAAGGCUGUGGCAAGAUCUUCUCCAACCGCCAGUACCUGAACCACCACAAGAAGUACCAGCACGUUCACCAGAAGACCUUCACCUGCUCGGAGCCCAGCUGCGGCAAGUCCUUCAACUUCAAGAAGCACCUCAAGGAGCACGAGAAGCUGCACAGCGACAAGCGGGACUACAUCUGCGAGUUCUGCGCCCGCUCCUUCCGCACCAGCAGCAACCUGAUCAUCCACAGGCGCAUCCACACGGGGGAGAAGCCCCUCCAGUGCGAGAUCUGCGGCUUCACCUGCCGCCAGAAAGCCUCCCUCAACUGGCACAUGAAGAAGCACGACGCCGACUCCUUCUACCAGUUCUCCUGCGACAUCUGCGGCAAGAAAUUCGAGAAGAGGGACAACGUCACUGCCCACAAGAGCAAAAGCCACCCCGAAGCCCCCAGCGGACCCCCCCAAGCCGUGCCGUCCUCACCUCCGAGCCUCCUGGGGACUGGGAUGGGGCACACGGAGGCGCCCGCGCCGAAAACCAAGGGGCCAAACCAGGACCUGUUGGCAGAGGGGCUUCCCUGCUCCUCCAGCAAGGACUUCCCCUCAUCGCCCCAUCCCCUCCUUGCCCGAUUUCCACGGCAGGAUCCUCAAUAA
rnacentral:lncRNA from 1 species